rnacentral:rRNA from 1 species
UACGGAGGGUGCAAGCGUUAUCCGGAUUCACUGGGUUUAAAGGGUGCGUAGGUGGGUUGGUAAGUCAGUGGUGAAAUCUCCGAGCUUAACUUGGAAACUGCCAUUGAUACUAUCAGUCUUGAAUAUUGUGGAGGUCAGCGGAAUAUGUCAUGUAGCGGUGAAAUGCUUAGAUAUGACAUAGAACACCAAUUGCGAAGGCAGCUGGCUACGCAUAUAUUGACACUGAGGCACGAAAGCGUGGGGAUCAAACAGGA